AGAAAAGUUGCUUAACACCAUGAGGCUAGUAACCCUCAACUGUGGAACAUCACUGCAUGAUCUUUGCAAGAACGGUCCAUUCUCUUCAGCUGUAGUGUGACUGCUUCGUGAGGAAGGAAGAUGCAGUUUAUGUCUGUAGAGACAAAUCUGAAUCAGGAGCUGUCAAUGGGAUGUGCAAAGCUGUUAGCUGACGUUAUUCAUUGCUGUAAAAGCCCUGAAGUAAUGGAAGAGUCAAUUGUGACUGGAAAUGGAAGAAAUGAUGCAUCAGAAAAGAAAGGAUGCUGUUCAGUACGAAGUGACUUUAAUUGCAGAGUGAGACAGCCCAGAGAGCUAUGCUAACACAGUGCCUUCAACAUCGAUCCAACCUUGAUGCUUCAAACCUUCUCAUCAUCUCCUGCCGUAUUUAUGCUCUGCACAAACAUCGUAAAGAGUGACAAAAAAACAGCAGAAGAAAGCAAAAUGUUGGGAAAAGGACACAGUGCAGGAGGCAAAGUCUUGGAGC